rnacentral:tRNA from 1 species
GGGUCGUUGGCUUAGAUAGUAGAGCAGUUGAUUUUUAAUCAAUUAGUCGCAGGUUCGAGUCUUGCACGACUCACCA